rnacentral:misc_RNA from 1 species
UAAAAUUGUAAUUUAAAUUAUUCCAAGUAAUUUCAUAAUCUUUGAUAUCACUUGUCCCGAACUUUAAUCAGAAUGCAAAUAGUAGCUGAGAAAAAUGUAUAUCGAUUACAUUCUAAGGAACUUGUCAAACCAAUUGCUAGCUUCCUUUACCAUCAAUGGAGUCAUUUGAUGCUCAAUACCAGCUUGAACUGUCAGCUUGAAAUUAAGUGGACAGUCAGCAUCUGCACAAACUUCCUGGGCUGUUGACGUUGGAAUAUCCAGGCCAGCAAUUGGACAACGCGGAUCUUCCUCUCCAUUUAAAAUCAGCAAAGGUCGUGGGGCAAUGACUGGGACGGUGUAUGGUGAAUCAAAUUGAGAAGCCAAACCUGGAGCAAUUCUGUCCCAGACCUUCUCAACCACUUCUUUGUCAAUUUCAUUCUUGCCUAAAUCGGAACGUGCUUCUUCAAACACAUCUUUGAUACUGUCAACUCUUGCCUGCCAUCGAUCAUGCUCAAUAGCCCACCGAAAUCCCUGAACUCCGAUUAUAGGAACAACCACUGAAAAACGAGUGUCGGCAAAUGCAGCAAACCAUGCAUGCAUACCUCCAAGUGAUUCACCAGUAAUUCCUAUCCUUGACGAGUCAAUAUCUUCCCUCUCUGUUAGAUAAUCCGCUAGUUUUAUCAAGUCCCACACCGUAUCAUAUAUGAACGGCAUUGUAUCACCUUUUUUCCAUGACGAUAUAAGGGCAUCACGAUAUGUUGUCGUAUUGGUGGCACGUUCUCCAUGGUAUCGAGAAUCAAUUGCUACAGCUAUGUAUCCCCUUGAAGCAUAUGCCUGAAGCAAUGGCCGUAACCACUCUUUACAUUUGUUUGUACUAUGCAGGAAGACAAUAGCUGGCCUCUUUUUCUUAGUGGCUUCCUUCAUGCUCAAUACCAAGACAGGCAACCGUCCUUGCUCUCCUUCCUCUGUGGUCAAGUAGAAAUUUUGCUCCUGAAUAAGUUCCUUCAUAUUGGGAAUAUCUUCUUUAGGGCAAGAUGACAUUACCUCACUGAAUAUUGGCUUUGGAAAUUCCUGAUGUAAUGGAUCAUUCACAGGUUUCCCAGGUAUCACACAGAGUGGAACUUGUGGUGUACGACGGGUGUGAAGGAGGUGAAGAAACUGAGAGCGGAGUUUGUCGGCAUCAAUUGCCAUUAUUUUGUUCAUAAUUUUUGAAACUCUGCCGUAUGGCUGGGCAAACUGCAUCUGCAAUAUGGAUCCCACGCCUCUCACCAACAUUGCUG